UCCGGUAUGGUGUAGGGGUUAACAUCGGUGCUUUUCAGGAAUUACGUAAGAUUCAUAUCUCUCGUAAUCUGAGCGCACUAGCCCGGGGUUCGAUUCCCCGUUCCGGAA